AUUGAACGCUGGCGGCAUGCUUUACACAUGCAAGUCGAACGGUAACAGGCCUUCGGGUGCUGUCGAGUGGCGCACGGGUGAGUAAUGCAUCGGAGCGUGCCCAGAGGUUGGGGAUAACGCAGCGAAAGCUGUGCUAAUACCGCAUGUGAUCUGAUGUUGAAAGCGGGGACCAACCAGCAUUGUUUGGCCUCUCGCCUCUUGUUCUGCCUAUGUCAGAUUAGGUAGUUGGUGUGGUAAAGGCCUACCAAGCCGACGAUCUGUAGCUGGUCUGAGAGGACGACCAGCCACACUGGAACGGAGACACGGCCCAGACUCCUACGGGAGGCAGCAGUGGGGAAUAUUGGACAAUGGGCGAAAGCCUGAUGCAGCAAUGCCGCGUGAGGGAAGAAGGACUUCGGGUUGUAAACCGCUUUUGUAAGGAAAGAAAAGGAGGUGGAGAAAAAAUGGGGGUGAUGACGGUACCGAAAGAAUAAGCAACGGCUAACUACGUG
rnacentral:rRNA from 1 species